rnacentral:hammerhead_ribozyme from 1 species
GUCAACUGACGAGUCCCAGAUAGGACGAAAUGUGCAUGUUAGAU